GCCGUGCUCUAUAUGAAGUAGGUGCUUUGAGAUUUAUGCUCCCUUCCAUGCAUAGAUUAGCUGAAAUUUCUCUCUCAAUAAAUACUGUAUGGUAGAAAUACCCAACACAAAACCCUAGCCAUCAUCUAAGCUUGCCUUCCGGCCGCUCCAAGCCUCCCACUUGAUUGGGACUCCUAAGGAUGGGAAAAUAGAGGAAGAAUGGGAAAAACAUGGGUAAAAUCAACGAAAGCAAAGAAAAGAUGGAAAAAAAGGUAAGAUCUUCCCUCACAUAAAUAAUCAUUUUUUUCUUUUUUGCUUAUCUUUUCUCUUCCUUUCAUUAUCUUUUUUAGAAAUCUGUG
rnacentral:lncRNA from 1 species